rnacentral:rRNA from 1 species
AUUGAACGCUGGCGGCAGGCCUAACACAUGCAAGUCGAGCGAGCGGCGGACGGGUGAGUACUGUCUGGGAAACUGCCUGAUGGAGGGGGAUAACUACUGGAAACGGUAGCUAAUACCGCAUACCAUCGGAUGUGCCCCGAUGGGAUUAGCUAGUAGGUGGGGUAACGGCUCACCUAGGCGACGAUCCCUAGCGGGUCUGAGAGGAUGACCAGCCACACUGGAACUGAGACACGGGCCAGAGUAAUACGGGAGGAAGCAGUGGGGAAGAUUGAACAAUGGGCGAAAGCCUGAUGCAGCCAUGCCGCGUGUAUGAAGAAGGCCUUCGGGUUGUAAAGUACUUUCAGCGGGGAGGCGUUACCAGCAGAAGAAGCACCGGCUAACUCCGUGCCAGCCGCCGCGGUAAUAC